rnacentral:rRNA from 1 species
GGAGGCGCUCAAAGGUUCUCUCAGUACGGUCGGAAAUCGUACGUAGAGUGUAAAGGCAAAAGAGAGCUUGAUUGCAAGACAUACAGGUCGAGCAAGGAUGAAAAUCGGACUUAGUGAUCCGGUGGUUCUGCGUGGAAGGGCCAUCGCUCAACGGAUAAAAGCUACCCUGGGGAUAACAGGCUUAUCUCCCCCAAGAGUCCACAUCGACGGGGAGGUUUGGCACCUCGAUGUCGGCUCAUCACAUCCUGGGGCUGUAGUAGGUCCCAAGGGUUGGGCUGUUCGCCCAUUAAAGUGGUACGCGAGCUGGGUUCAGAACGUCGUGAGACAGUUCGGUCCCUAUCCGUCGCAGGCGUAGGAAAUUUGAGAAGACCUGUCCUUAGUACGAGAGGACCGGGAUGGACGUACCUCUGGUGUACCAGUUGUUCUGCCAAGGGCAUGGCUGGGUAGCUAUGUACGGAAUGGAUAAGCGCUGAAAGCAUCUAAGCGCGAAGCCAACUUCAAGAUAAGAUUUCCCACCG